rnacentral:rRNA from 1 species
AUGCAGUUGGGUACGAGGCGCCGCCGGCGUUCCUCCGAGCCAGGCCCUGCCGGCGGAGCGGACUACCUCAGCGCCCUCCCCGAAGAUCUCCUCCUCCUGGUCCUCGCCCGCCUCGGCUGCGCCGCCGCCGCCGCGCGCACGGGCCUCCUCUCCCGCCGAUGGCGCGGCCUGUGGGCCCGCCUCCGCGACCUCUCCUUCCGGGGCCUCGCGUUCCCGUCGCUCCAGGCGGCGCUCGGCCGCGUAUCCCGCCCCCCUCCCGCGGUCUCCCUCCUCGAGAUCCACGUCCCCAGCCAGAACUGGCCCGAGGACGGGCCCGCCGCCGGCGCCGUCACCUCGCUGCUGCGCGCCGCCGCGCUGCUCGCGCCUGAGAAGCUCGUCUUCACUUUCCCGUUGGACUCACAUCUGAGUUACGCGGGCGUCGACCUGCCGUGCUUCCACCGCGCCACCUCGAUUGUGCUGGAGUGGAUCCCCUUCGUCCUCGCCGGGGGCGAGUACCCCGCCCUUCAGACGCUGUCCAUCAGGGGCUGCGAAGUUGACGACCUCGGUGCCUUGCUCUCCCUCUGCCCACACCUGCGCGCGCUCAGGCUCAUUUGGCUGGGCGGCGACGACGACCGGACGACAGUCCACUCAACGUCGCUGCAGGAGCUUGUCAUGGAGGCAAUGUGGGCACGCCGAGUGGACAUCGUUGCCCCCAUGCUUAAGCAAUUGACGGUGUCCUUGCACGCCUACGAGCAGGCGAGCAUCUCCAUCUUGGCACCAAUGGUGGAGAAGGUCUCGUGGCAAUGCCUCUAUCAGAAUAGAACUAUUUGGUUUGGUCUUUGGUGCCUCGAGAAGCUGAGCCUACAGACGGCAGAGGCUCAGGAACAGCUCCCUUCUUUGCACAUUCAUGCCUGCAGUUGCUUGUUUGACUUUUCCAAUGAAGAAGCCAACUUUGCAGAGGAGAUAGAGAAGCACCUGGUUGCUGACUUCUCUGCUUUGGAGCUACAUCUGACAACAACGGGCCAUGUUUUUGGAGCAUUUGUGUCACAUCUUCUUGGGUUAAAUUGGAUCUGUAGUGUUAUAACUUAUAAGGAGGCUUAA